CCUACGGGAGGCUGCAGUGGGGAAUAUUGCACAAUGGGCGCAAGCCUGAUGCAGCCAUGCCGCGUGUGUGAAGAAGGCCUUCGGGUUGUAAAGCACUUUCAGCGGGGAGGAAGGCGGUGAGGUUAAUAACCUCAUCGAUUGACGUUACCCGCAGAAGAAGCACCGGCUAACUCCGUGCCAGCAGCCGCGGUAAUACGGAGGGUGCAAGCGUUAAUCGGAAUUACUGGGCGUAAAGCGCACGCAGGCGGUCUGUCAAGUCGGAUGUGAAAUCCCCGGGCUCAACCUAGGAACUGCAUUCGAAACUGGCAGGCUAGAGUCUUGUAGAGGGGGGUAGAAUUCCAGGUGUAGCGGUGAAAUGCGUAGAGAUCUGGAGGAAUACCGGUGGCGAAGGCGGCCCCCUGGACAAAGACUGACACUCAGGUGCGAAAGCGUGGGGAGCAAACAGGAUUAGAUACCCGAGUAGUC
rnacentral:rRNA from 1 species